rnacentral:rRNA from 2 species
UGGGGAAUCUUCCGCAAUGGGCGCAAGCCUGACGGAGCAACGCCGCGUGAGUGAAGAAGGCCUUCGGGUUGUAAAACUCUGUCAUCAGGGAAGAAGAAAGUGACGGUACCUGAGGAGGAAGCCCCGGCUAACUACGUGCCAGCAGCCGCGGUAAAACGUAGGGGGCGAGCGUUGUCCGGAAUUACUGGGCGUAAAGGGCGCGUAGGCGGUUAUCCAAGUCAGGGGUGAAAACCUUGGGCUCAACUCAGGGCCUGCCUCUGAAACUGGGUAACUUGAGGGCAGGAGAGGGGAGUGGAAUUCCCAGUGUAGCGGUGAAAUGCGUAGAUAUUGGGAGGAACACCAGUGGCGAAGGCGGCUCUCUGGCCUAACCCUGACGCUGAGGCGCGAAAGCGUGGGGAUCAAACAGG